AGUGAACGCUGGCGGCAGGCCUAACACAUGCAAGUCGAGCGGCAGCGGGCUGUAGCAAUACAGUGCCGGCGAGCGGCGGACGGGUGAGGAAUACAUCGGAAUCUACCUUGUCGUGGGGGAUAACGUAGGGAAACUUACGCUAAUACCGCAUACGAAUUACGGUUGAAAGCGGAGGACCGCAAGGCUUCGCGCGAUUGGAUGAGCCGAUGUCGGAUUAGCUAGUUGGCGGGGUAAUGGCCCACCAAGGCGACGAUCCGUAGCUGGUCUGAGAGGAUGAUCAGCCACACUGGAACUGAGACACGGUCCAGACUCCUACGGAGGCAGCAGUGGGGAAUAUUGGACAAUGGGCGCAAGCCUGAUCCAGCCAUGCCGCGUGUGUGAAGAAGGCCUCCGGGUGUAAGGCACUUUGUUCGGGAGAAAAGCUACCGGUAAUACCCGGAGUCAUGACGGUACCGAAAGAAUAAGC
rnacentral:rRNA from 1 species